rnacentral:rRNA from 1 species
GAUGAACGCUGGCGGCGUGCCUAACACAUGCAAGUCGAACGGAACUUUUACGGAUUGAGACUUCGGUUGAUUGAAGUUUAAGUUUAGUGGCGGACGGGUGAGUAACGCGUGAGUAACCUGCCUUUCACAGGGGGAUAACGUUUGGAAACGAACGCUAAUACCGCAUAACAUAGCGAGACCGCAUGAUCUUGCUAUCAAAGAUUUUAUCGGUGAAAGAUGGACUCGCGUCCGAUUAGGUAGUUGGUGAGGUAACGGCCCACCAAGCCGACGAUCGGUAGCCGGACUGAGAGGUUGAACGGCCACAUUGGGACUGAGACGCGGCCAGACUCCUACGGGAGGCAGCAGUGGGGAAUAUUGCACAAUGGGCGCAAGCCUGAUGCAGCAACGCCGCGUGAGGGAAGACGGUUUUCGGAUUGUAAACCUCUGUCUUUGGUGACGAAGAAGUGACGGUAGCCAAGGAGAAGCCACGGCUAACUACGUG